rnacentral:rRNA from 1 species
GACGAACGCUGGCGGCGUGCUUAACACAUGCAAGUCGAACGGAAAGGCCCUGCUUUUGUGGGGUGCUCGAGUGGCGAACGGGUGAGUAACACGUGAGUAACCUGCCCUUGACUUUGGGAUAACUUCAGGAAACUGGGGCUAAUACCGGAUAGGAGCUCCUGCUGCAUGGUGGGGGUUGGAAAGUUUCGGCGGUUGGGGAUGGACUCGCGGCUUAUCAGCUUGGUGGUGGGGUAGUGGCUUACCAAGGCUUUGACGGGUAGCCGGCCUGAGAGGGUGACCGGCCACAUUGGGACUGAGAUACGGCCCAGACUCGUACGGGAGGCAGCGGUGCGGAAUAUUGCACUAUGGGCGGAAGCCUGAUGCAGCAACGCCGCGUGCGGGAUGACGGCCUUCGGGUUGUAAACCGCUUUCGCCUGUGACGAAGCGUGAGUGACGGUAAUGGGUAAAGAAGCACCGGCUAACUACGUG